rnacentral:rRNA from 1 species
CAGAACGAACGCUGGCGGCAGGCCUAACACAUGCAAGUCGAGCGCAGUCCUUCGGGACCGAGCGGCGGACGGGUUAGUAACGCGUGGGAACAUACCCUUUUCUACGGAAUAGCCUCGGGAAACUGAGAGUAAUACCGUAUAAGCCCUUCGGGGGAAAGAUUUAUCGGGAAAGGAUUGGCCCGCGUUAGAUUAGAUAGUUGGUGGGGUAAUGGCCUACCAAGUCUACGAUCUAUAGCUGGUUUUAGAGGAUGAUCAGCAACACUGGGACUGAGACACGGCCCAGACUCCUACGGGAGGCAGCAGUGGGGAAUCUUAGACAAUGGGCGCAAGCCUGAUCUAGCCAUGCCGCGUGUGUGAUGAAGGUCUUAGGAUCGUAAAGCACUUUCGCCAGGGAUGAUAAUGACAGUACCUGGUAAAGAAACCCCGGCUAACUCCGUGCCAGCAGCCGCGGUAAUACGGAGGGGGUUAGCGUUGUUCGGAAUUACUGGGCGUAAAGCGUACGUAGGCGGAUCAGAAAGUAGGGGGUGAAAUCCCAGGGCUCAACCCUGGAACUGCCUCCUAAACUCCUGGUCUUGAGUUCGAGAGAGGUGAGUGGAAUUCCAAGUGUAGAGGUGAAAUUCGUAGAUAUUUGGAGGAACACCAGUGGCGAAGGCGGCUCACUGGCUCGAUACUGACGCUGAGGUACGAAAGUGUGGGGAGCAAACAGGAUUAGAUACCCUGGUAGUCCACACCGUAAACGAUGAAUGCCAGUCGUCGGGCAGUAUACUGUUCGGUGACACACCUAACGGAUUAAGCAUCCGCC